AAGAGAGCAUCUAAGAAGCUGAAAGAGAGACUUAGGAUGGGUUUAGGUUCAGUCAUCUAAGUGAGUAUUCAGAUCUCGCAUUGGAUUUGGAUAGGGUUGGGUUGGCUCAGAUCAUUUAUCUCAAGAUCCAAAUCAAUCUAAAAGUCUCCACGGAUCAGGUUAGAUCAAGAUUCAGUAAAUCCAUAUCCGAUCCAGAAAAUGGAACGAAUCCAAUUUUAGAACCCGACCUAAAUCCAGAGAUCUUUUAAAAUGAUUUGGAUCGGAUCUAUAUGGAUUGGAUCAGAUCACAGGUCAAUUUGAUCCAUUUGCAGCCUUAGGUAGAG
rnacentral:lncRNA from 1 species